rnacentral:tRNA from 1 species
GCGGAUAUGGUGGAAUUGGUAGACAUGCUAGUUUUAGGCACUAGUGAAGUAAUUCGUGGGGGUUCAAAUCCCUCUAUCCGUA